rnacentral:rRNA from 1 species
UACAGAGGGGGCAAGCGUUGUUCGGAAUUACUGGGCGUAAAGGGCGCGUAGGCGGCCUUCUAAGUCGAACGUGAAAUCCCCGGGCUCAACCCGGGAACUGCGUCCGAGACUGAAAGGCUUGAAUCCGGGAGAGGGAUGUGGAAUUCCAGGUGUAGCGGUGAAAUGCGUAGAUAUCGGAAGGAACAUCAGUGGCGAAAGCGACUUCCUGGACCAAUACUGACGCUCAUGUGCGAAAGCGUGGGGAGCAAACAGG